rnacentral:rRNA from 1 species
GACGAACGCUGGCGGCGUGCUUAACACAUGCAAGUCGAACGGAAAGGCCCUGCUUUUGUGGGGUGCUCGAGUGGCGAACGGGUGAGUAACACGUGAGUAACCUGCCCUUGACUUUGGGAUAACUUCAGGAAACUGGGGCUAAUACCGGAUAGGAGCUCCUGCUGCAUGGUGGGGGUUGGAAAGUUUCGGCGGUUGGGGAUGGACUCGCGGCUUAUCAGCUUGUUGGUGGGGUAGUGGCUUACCAAGGCUUUGACGGGUAGCCGGCCUGAGAGGGUGACCGGCCACAUUGGGACUGAGAUACGGCGCAGACUCCUACGGGGGGCAGCAGUGGGGAAUAUUGCACAAUGGGCGGAAGCCUGAUGCAGCAACGCCGCGUGCGGGAUGACGGCCUUCGGGUUGUAAACCGCUUUCGCCUGUGACGAAGCGUGAGUGACGGUAAUGGGUAAAGAAGCACCGGCUAACUACGUG